rnacentral:rRNA from 1 species
GAAUCCUACGGGGCACAGCAGUGGGGAAUAUUGCACAAUGGGGGAAACCCUGAUGCAGCAACGCCGCGUGAAGGAAGACGGUUUUCGGAUUGUAAACUUCUGUUCUUAGUGAAGGAGAAUGACGGUAGCUAAGGAGCAAGCCACGGCUAACUACGUGCCAGCAGCCGCGGUAAUACGUAGGUGGCAAGCGUUGUCCGGAAUUACUGGGUGUAAAGGGAGCGCAGGCGGGAAGCCAAGUCAGCUGUGAAAACUACGGGCUUAACUUGUAGACUGCAGUUGAAACUGGUUUUCUUUAG